rnacentral:rRNA from 1 species
UACGUAGGGACCAAGCGUUGUUCGGAUUUACUGGGCGUAAAGGGCGCGUAGGCGGCAAUUCAAGUCAGUUGUGAAAUCUCCGAGCUUAACUCGGAACGGUCAACUGAUACUGUUUUGCUAGAGUACAGAAGGGGCAAUCGGAAUUCUUGGUGUAGCGGUGAAAUGCGUAGAUAUCAAGAGGAACACCUGAGGUGAAGACGGGUUGCUGGGCUGAUACUGACGCUGAGGCGCGAAAGCUAGGGGAGCAAACGGG